rnacentral:rRNA from 1 species
GAGUUUGAUCCUGGCUCAGGAUGAACGCUGGCGGCGUGCUUAACACAUGCAAGUCGAGCGAAGCGGCUGAAUUGAUUCUUCGGAUGAUUUUCAGUUGACUGAGCGGCGGACGGGUGAGUAACGCGUGGGUGACCUGCCCCAUACCGGGGGAUAACAGCUGGAAACGGCUGCUAAUACCGCAUAAGCGCACAGCAUCGCAUGAUGCAGUGUGAAAAACUCCGGUGGUAUAAGAUGGACCCGCGUUGGAUUAGCUAGUUGGUGAGGUAACGGCCCACCAAGGCGACGAUCCAUAGCCGACCUGAGAGGGUGACCGGCCACAUUGGGACUGAGACACGGCCCAAACUCCUACGGGAGGCAGCAGUGGGGAAUAUUGCACAAUGGGCGAAAGCCUGAUGCAGCGACGCCGCGUGAGCGAAGAAGUAUUUCGGUAUGUAAAGCUCUAUCAGCAGGGAAGAUAAUGACGGUACCUGACUAAGAAGCACCGGCUAAAUACGUGCCAGCCGCCGCGGUAAUAC